rnacentral:tRNA from 13 species
GGAGAGAUGGCUGAGUGGUUGAUAGCUCCGGUCUUGAAAACCGGUAUAGUUCCAAAGAACUAUCGAGGGUUCGAAUCCCCCUCUCUCCU